UACAGAGGGUGCGAGCGUUAAUCGGAAUUACUGGGCGUAAAGGGUGCGUAGGUGGUUGUAUGUGCGUUAUGUGAAAGCCCCGGGCUUAACCUGGGAAGUGCAUAGCAGACUAUAUAACUGGAGUACAGGAGAGGGUAGUGGAAUUUCCGGUGUAGCGGUGAAAUGAGUAGAUAUCGGAAGGAACGUCAAUGGCGAAGGCAGCUACCUGGACUGAUACUGACACUGAGGCACGAAAGCGUGGGGAGCGAACAGG
rnacentral:rRNA from 1 species